rnacentral:rRNA from 1 species
AUUGAACGCUGGCGGCAUGCCUUACACAUGCAAGUCGAACGGCAGCACGGACUUCGGUCUGGUGGCGAGUGGCGAACGGGUGAGUAAUAUAUCGGAACAUACCUUGUAGUGGGGGAUAACUAUCCGAAAGGAUAGCUAAUACCGCAUACGCCCUAAGGAGGAAAGCGGGGGAUCGUAAGACCUCGUGCUAUAAGAGUGGCCGAUAUCUGAUUAGCUAGUUGGUGAGGUAAAGGCUCACCAAGGCGACGGUCAGUAGCUGGUCUGAGAGGACGACCAGCCACACUGGAACUGAGACACGGUCCAGACUCCUACGGGAGGCAGCAGUGGGGAAUUUUGGACAAUGGGGGCAACCCUGAUCCAGCAAUGCCGCGUGAGUGAAGAAGGCCUUCGGGUUGUAAAGCUCUUUUGUCAGGGAAGAAACGGUUGUGGCUAAUAUCCAUGGCUAAUGACGGUACCUGAAGAAUAAGCACCGGCUAACUACGUGCCAGCAGCCGCAGUAAUAC